UACGUAGGGGGCAAGCGUUGUCCGGAAUCAUUGGGCGUAAAGGGCGCGUAGGCGGCCAUUCAAGUGACGGGUGAAAGCCCUCGGCUUAACCGAGGAACUGCCUGUCAGACUGGAUGGCUUGAGACCGGGAGAGGUGAGUGGAAUUCCCAGUGUAGCGGUGAAAUGCGUAGAUAUUGGGAGGAACACCAGUGGCGAAGGCGGCUCACUGGACCGGAACUGACGCUGAGGCGCGAAGGCUAGGGGAGCGAACGGG
rnacentral:rRNA from 1 species